UACCACNAUGGUGCUCCAGCAGAGUACCCUCCUCCACCUCAGGGCCGUGGACGUGGCCGUGGAAGGGGAGGAGGCCGUGGAAGAGGAGGAGGCCGUGGUGGAUUCAACAGAUCAAAUGGAGCACCAAUUCAGGCUGCUGCUUGAGUGACCAGGGUCAUUGAAUGGACUUGGGUCGUUUCUACAUUCUCAUGUUUUUUUGUCUCUUUUUCGUCAAAACAACUUAUUGCCGUAGAAUAAUCUCUCGUUCAUGUUGCCUUUUUAGGUUAUAUAUAUGUUCAUUUAUUUUUGGACGCCGUCUUGGAUGAUUCCAGUUUUUGUUCCUUCUAAUUUCUAUCAGCUUUCCAGUUUUGUCUCUG